AGAGACACUGUNCACCCCGAACGGGAGGCAGCACGACGAUAAACAAAGCUCGCCGCGUGCAAGUUGGCCGCACGGUCAGCAACACGAUCGAAUUGACGGGGACCUCCUAAAGCCUGCAACACCAACCGUCCGGGGAAACUCGGGCGGGGCCCUCACGGGGUGGUAAGAGAGUGCAGGAUGAACAAUGGACGAUCCGCAGCGAAGACCCUACCGGCGAGAGCCCACGGGUACCGUUCACAGACUAAGUGAUUGUGGGCGGGGCAUCAGGCCCCGUCUAAGAUAUAGUCGGUCUCUGCUCGAAAGAGCAGAGCCUAGCGCGUCCGUAGGUGAACCUGCGGAAGGAUCAUUAAAGAAUCGCCCCGUUUUUUGAAAUGGGUUCUAUUCCCAAACCGUGUAUACAUACCUUUGUUGCUUUGGCAGGCCGCCUUUUAGGCGUCGGCUCCGGCUGACUGCGCCUGCCAGAGGACCCAAACUCGUUUGUNUAGUGAUGUCUGAGUACUAUAUAAUAGUU
rnacentral:misc_RNA from 1 species